rnacentral:rRNA from 1 species
GNNANNUNAUCNGAGUACUCAUCGGAGGGGGGAGGCUAGUGUGAGAGGUGCCUUAAGGUGCAAGGCUUGCUGCCAGAAGAUGAGCUCGCGUCUGAUUAGCUAGUAGGUGUGGUAAGAGCGCACCUAGGCGACGAUCAGUAGCUGGUCUGAGAGGAUGAUCAGCCACACUGGGACUGAGACACGGCCCAGACUCCUACGGGAGGCAGCAGUGGGGAAUUUUCCGCAAUGGGCGAAAGCCUGACGGAGCAAUACCGCGUGAGGGAGGAAGGCUCUUGGGUUGUAAACCUCUUUUCUCAAGGAAGAAAAAAAUGACGGUACUUGAGGAAUAAGCAUCGGCUAACUCCGUGCCAGCAGCCGCGGUAAUACGGAGGAUGCAAGCGUUAUCCGGAAUGAUUGGGCGUAAAGCGUCCGCAGGUGGCUAUGUAAGUCUGCUGUUAAAGAGUGAGGCUCAACCUCAUAAAAGCGGUGGAAACUACAUGGCUAGAGUGCGUUCGGGGCAGAGGGAAUUCCUGGUGUAGCGGUGAAAUGCGUAGAGAUCAGGAAGAACACCGGUGGCGAAAGCGCUCUGCUAGGCCGCAACUGACACUGAGGGACGAAAGCUAGGGGAGCGAAUGGGAUUAGAUAUCCCCGUUAUUCAGUGAUGAC